CCAGAAGCGAGUUCCCCAGGGCCGGCGGGGCCAGGCCGGCGGCCUGGCACGGGCUGAGCGUGGCAGGGUGCCGAUGCGAAAGGCUCCUCGGCCCGGCUGCGGUCCUCAACGAGCAGAAGAAGUCUUAAGUUACUCUCCUGGUAGAAAAUGUAAACAGUAUGAUUCAGCAAUGUCAUACCGUGAAGAAAGCAAACAUCAUACUGGGAUAUAUAAACAGGAGUCUCAUAUGCAGGACACAUGAAGUAAUACUUCCACUCUACUCGGUACUCAUAAGACCUCAACCAAAGUACUGUAUCCAGCUUUUGGCACAACACUUCAAGAAAGUGGAGAAGGGCCAGUGGAAAGCAACAAGAAUAAUCAGAAGCCUAGAAAAGACAAACUAGGGAAAGACUGAAAGAAGAAGAGCUGUUUAGUCUACAGAGGAGAAGACUGAGUUAAGACAUGCUAACAGUUUUCAAACAUAUGAAAGACUGCUGUAAAGAGGAGGUGUUAAACUGCUCUCUAUGGUCUUAUUGUGCAUAAUAAAAUAGUUUAAAAUUCAGUUGA